rnacentral:tRNA from 1 species
GGGCUGGGGCUCAGUGGUAGAGCGGUCACCUAGCAUGUGCAAGGUUCUGGGUUCAAUCGUCAGUACCACA